UACGGAGGGGGCAAGCGUUGUUCGGAUUUACUGGGCGUAAAGCGCGUGUAGGCGGGUCCAUAAGAUGGAUGUGAAAGCCCCGAGCUCAACUCGGGAAGUGCCUUCGUGACUGGGAGGCUGGAGUCAAGGAGAGGCUAGUGGAAUUCUGAGUGUAGAGGUGAAAUUCGUAGAUAUUGGCAGGAACACCAGUGGCGAAGGCGGCUCGCUGGACGUGUGGUGACGCUGAGAAGCGAAAGCGUGGGGAGCAAACAGG
rnacentral:rRNA from 1 species